rnacentral:rRNA from 1 species
UACAGAGGUCCCAAGCGUUGUUCGGAUUCACUGGGCGUAAAGGGUGCGUAGGUGGCUUGGUAAGUUUGAUGUGAAAUCUCCGGGCUUAACCCGGAAAUGGCAUUGAAUACUAUUGAGCUGGAGGUUUGGAGGGGGGACUGGAAUUCUCGGUGUAGCAGUGAAAUGCGUAGAUAUCGAGAGGAACACCAGUGGCGAAGGCGGGUCCCUGGACAACACCUGACGCUGAGGCACGAAAGCUAGGGGAGCAAACAGG